rnacentral:misc_RNA from 1 species
CGCAUGCCUGUGAGAGUACACAGAAAGGCACAUUCUGCACGCGCCUUUUCUCACCCCUCCGCCUCCCUGCGCUUCAUACGCACAUACGUGCUCUCUUCUCUGCAUCCGUCCUGCUGCUCCUCGUGUUGCGGCUGCGCCGGCUGGGCGUGAACAGGGCCGCUUCUCAUUUUUCGGGUCUCUCCCGACCAUCUAUGGAUGUACGUCUCUGUGCCUGCGCGCGUGUUGUAGGCUAUCUGUUCCCGCAGGUGCUGCGGUGCUCAAGGGCAUUAUUGUCCUCGUGGUGUGCGCGCAGCAACGCACCACCUGCUCUUUCCUGCUCUCCCGUCACGCACAACACACACACACACACACACACGCACACGCAGGACGGCACUCUCACUGACGGCGUGCGCGACGUUGCUGAACGUGUACGAAGAGGUCGACGAUGCGAUCGCGCGUACGCUUCCGACUACUUGGUAGAAACACAAGGUAUAGGCAUCCUGCUGCCACAGCGGCGGCCGCAGCGCGGAUGCGCUGUGUUUAUCGGCCUGCCAGCGGCGCGAGUGGCUGCUGCAGAGCCACUGCUAGCGGCGGCACUACCCUUUCCGCCGGCACCGUGGCGUACGCCUCGCGGCACUUCAGUGCGCCUACGCGUCUGUCGCGAUCGGAACCACCGCCACCGCCACUCCCUCCACUCCCGGGGCCAGGCGCCACGGUGAGCGAGGAACGUGUCGCACGAUGGUGUCGGCGGCUGUGGGACCUCACGCGCAAGUCCACUGGCAGCGUGGCCUCUGCCCAUGUCACCCCACAGCUUCAACUCGCCGCCCACAGAGCAACAGCAGCACUGUUAUCAUCGUCGUCGGCGUCCCCCUUCACCGCGCCACUGCAGAUUGAUGACAAUGGGGAGGUGACGGGCGAGGUGGUGCUGUCCUGCCUGCGCCGCGCCAUCCGUAGCGAUCAGGGCCGCAUUCCUGGGGUCAUUGUGGAGAGCGUGUGGGCCGCCUUCGACGUGCUCGUGCCGCCCAUCGUCCAGAACAGCGUCACAGAGGAUAGCAUCACACCCGCGACGGAGGAUAGCUUCUUUAUGUUCAUCUCGACCUUGAACGAGCUUAACUUCGACCUGCACGCGGUCGUGAAGGCAAGCACGCAGCUGACAGCGAAGGUGGACUCCUACGUGGCCCUUCUACGGCAGGCGGAGGCUCAAGAAACGCAGCAAGCGGCAACAGCAGCUGCCUGUGGCUCUGCACAGGCCGCUAUCGACGGAUGCGAGCUCAUGGAGAAGCUCAUGAAGACUAAGGGGGAGGUCAUGCAGUGCUGCUUCGAGGCCCGCAACGCCGGCUCUCCUCUCUACUACACGUGGUUGUGGCACACGGCCGCCAUGCCGGACGGCCUGCGGCGGCUCAUGCAUUUUCGAAAGCUGACCCAUUUCUUCGAGAGCUUGUGCAAGCGACACAUCAAACAUCUCAUGCAGCAGCAGCAGCAGCCGCAGCGGCGGAGCUUACUGUCUUCUUCGGCGCCUGCUACUGGCGAGUCUGCGGGGACGUUGCCAUCAGCAGCAGCAUCAAGCGCCACGGAGCAAAGUCGCUGCGCUGGCGAGCUCUCCAAGUGGCGUAGUCGUCUCGUCGAGGUAGGCCUAAUCGAUGGUGCCAUGUCGCUUCUCUUGCACGACCUCUUCUCCAAGGAGUACUUGGUGAUGGAGGAGCUGACGUGGCUCUCGACGCCGCCGUCGAUGCUGGACCAGAUCAUGCGUGCCGAGUCUGUCCAUCCGUUCGUCCGCGGACUCGAAGACAUGCGCCAUCGCCUGCAACCGGCUCACCACCGCCACUUGUUCGCCUUUCUGCACCCCGCCGUUGUCGAGGAGCCGCUCAUCGCCGUGCAGGUGGCCUUGACGCACGGCAUCGCCAGCUCUGUGGACCAGAUCUUGGGUCGCCCUACGCCGCUGUCAGACCCGGCGAACACGUCGAAGGCGGCCCUCUACUUCCGCCACGCACUGGAAUCCUCGGCGGCGGUUGACUGCGCCGGUGCGGCGGAAGAUGGCAACGUGAACACCGCCAUCUUCUACAGCAUCAACUCUGCCCAGAGUGCGUUGCGUGGCAUGGACAUGGGCAACCGCCUCAUCAAGCGCGUCGUGCAGGAGGUGGAGGGCAACAUUAAUGCCCGGCGGCAGGCGCGCAGCUUGACUCCCAUCCACACCUUCAGCACCCUCUCACCCAUCCCACUCUACGUCAAGUGGCUGGCUGAUAAGGUGGCUGCGCUGGCGGCUGCCGCUGCGACAGCUACCACGAUGACGGCGAGCGGCAUCUUUGGCAAGCAGCUCUCCGCAACCGAGGAAGAUACACGCUACUUGGAGCCGCUUCGCGCGGCGAUUGCCGGCUACGUCCUGCGGCACCCCGGUGCCCUACCGGCGGAGGCGCGUGCGGUGAUGUCAGCGGCGGCCGCAAGCAGUCACGGCAACCACGCGGCUGCAAACAUAGCGGCACUGCAGUACCUCGUGCGUCUGCUCCAAGACUCAUCUUCGCCCCCCUCGUUGCCGCGCGACGAUCCUGCCAUGUUCGCCGCGGGCAGCACCUCGACAGAGCGGCAUCAGCAGCCAUGGUGGAUGGACCAUGCGUUCACGAUGGCCCUCGAGGCGCCCCUGCUGCACUCCGUUGCCACGUACCUGUGCACUGCCAAGCGUAGUGGUGAUGGCCGCAUUCGCGACCCAGUCGGCAACUUUCACGUGUCUAAUGGCGCCACUGUUUAUCGACUAAACUUCCUGGCGAACACGACCCCGAAGGCCAGUUGUGAGAGCGCCUGCAUCAUGGUGAACUACUGGUACGACCUGCCAACGGUCUCAGCCAACGCUGCGCAGUACGAGGUGAGCCGCACCGUGCCCCUCGGUGAGCCGAUCAAGACGCUGCUGGGGGACAUUUAGGGCGGCUGUGCUGUCAAGCCCUGCGGACACUUCCUCCCCCUCUCCGUUCCGCCAGUCGCGCUGGUGGGCGCACGUGCAGCAGCAACUCUUGUGCCCUGGAAGAGUGAGCGCCAUCCCCUCCUCUCCCACUUGCUUUGAAAAUGACCGAUCCACAGCGCAGGAACGAUGGCCAGACAGCACCACCACCGCCACGCCUCCCCACGCGCACGGACAUGCCCCGCCCUCCUUUGUGCGGCAUUGCGCUCUUAUUUUUGUGUAUCGCUGCGCGCGCAUCUCUCUCGAGCCUUUCUCCUCCGUCUUCGAUGCGCGUCCGCCCUGCACCCUGCCCUGUGUACCCUCCGCCUUGCCCCCUUCCACCGCGCCUUCCUCUUCUUUCUCUCGCGCUGCCCCACAGAGGCGUUUGAUCUGCUGUCUGAGGCGCAUGUGAGGCGAGCACGACGAAGAGCAACCACAACAUACGAAGAAGAGAGAGGACUGGUCUCCGUCUUGUUAUGUGUGUGUGUGUGCGUCACUCCGGAGGAGCCCGUCCUACCGCACAGGCGGAGGUGUUGGCCCCGUGAGCGUGGGCGUUGUGUGUGAUGAGUACGUAUAGAUACACAUGUACGUAUGAUAAGUUGUAUGCACGUACGCGCUUCGGCUCUCGGGCACGCUGCAGGGAGCGCCGCCGACCCCGUCCCUUCGCGCUUCCGACCCCCUGCGGUGCUCUCUUCGCUAUUUCUCGACUACGUCCUGCUUCUCGGUUGAUGCGGGGGGCCACCUCAGCGCGGUUUCAGGGUGCCCGGUGACCCGCACUUGGUAGGGAGGCCGAACGCCUACAACAUGCUCUCGGUGUACGGCUGGCGGACUCUCGGUGUCGGCGAAUAGGUGCUGGGGGCUGGUGCUGUCCCGAAAGAGGCUUACCGUUCUCCGAUAACGCUCACACUAGCUCACACCGGAUAGUACCAGCGGCUCGACAGCUUCUGGACGAAGAGAUGCACACUGAUCAGCCCAACAGUGCAUGGUGCGCAGUGUCCGCUACACUCGACCCUGCGGGCUGAGGGGGCAUCGGCGCGGGGGGGGGGCAGUGAGGGCACCCCGAGCUGCACCACCGAGUCCUCCAGACUCUGCUGUGGAGAGUCUCCGCGCCAUAUUACGGGAUGCAGCGGCUUGGGGCGGCUGAGGGGGGGGCGUGGCGCGCGGGCGGGGCACAGAGUCUCGGGGGUCCCUGGCCUGGGGCCGGCCAGCUGCCUCCUUGGGUCCACUCGGCAUGCGCCUUUGCCAUCCCGUGCCACCACCCGCGCGACAGACGCUAUCGCCACUGCCCUCGCGCAGGGCGCUGGACGCGGCCGGCGUGGAUCAAGGCGUGCGGCCCACUCGGGUGUCCGCGUGGGGCCGAUCACGGGGCACGCGCGCGAGGAAGGGGCGGGUCGCGGACACGGGGGGCCCGCUAGACGCGUGGACCCGAUCCGACGCCAGGACGGCUGGCCCUCGCGCGCCAGGGCGUAGCUGCGGCGCAACAGAGGUGGGUGCGCUGCAGCUGUGUAUGUGCGUCUUGCUUGCUUGACGUUUUCUCGGAGGAAUGAUGUUAUGGCUCAACUCACCCGAUGCUUGCCGUAGAACAGGAGCUCCACUUCUCUCUCGAGCCCCGGCCUUUCACAAGCACCGCACCCGCGUGGUGCGAAGCACCGGUAGACACGCGUUGCAGCAGUGCGCCGACCCGGUCGCCCGAGGAGGGCCCGUGCCCUCAAGCGCCGCCCACCCACCCGGCGCAUCUUAGGGUGGCUCUCAGGCGCCCCACACCAGCAGGCGGUGCGAGGGUCGGGUGUGGCAUACGCUCGAGUCGCCCGGACACUUUUUGCCUAUCCGAUGAGAACCACAAACGCGUUCACUGCCGCCGCUCGCCCCGGCGCCACGCCGUCCGGGACCCGCCCACCGACAUCCGCAGCGACGACUCGCUCUCACUCGCCCACGUCGUAGGCGCUUGGCACGCGCACCGCCAGAAGUGGCUCGGCAUUCGGCCGGGAUGGGGGCGGGGAGAGGGGGCUGCUCGGCGUCCACCCAGACCGAGCUGGACACACCGGACCCGGAGAUGCCACGCGCGGAGGUGUGUGUGCGCAUCCUAUGGGGUAUGCAGGUAGGCGUAACACGAAGAUGCGCUGUGCUUGUCGGUGUUCUUUUUUUUGUGGUGCUUGCUUUUCAUCUUCACCUGCCGUGCGCCUCUCCCGCUGUUUUAUCUUUUCUCGUCUGCUGGCUUGCCUUUCAUGCACGCGUGAUGGCGUGGGUGCCUGUGCACCGCGUGCUCUCUUCCCAUCGUCUUGUGGAGUGCGCCUUGUCUGGGUAGCUUCGCUUGUCUGUGGUUGCCUCCCUGUGUACGUCUCUGCUCAUCCUU